UCCCUGGUGGCUCAGUGGUAAAGAAUCUGCCUGCCAAUGCAGGAGACCUGGGUUUGAUCCCUGGUCUGGGAA
rnacentral:tRNA from 1 species